CCUACGGGCUGCAGCAGUGGGGAAUAUUGGACAAUGGGCGAAAGCCUGAUCCAGCCAUGCCGCGUGUGUGAAGAAGGCCUUCGGGUUGUAAAGCACUUUCAGUGGGGAAGAAAGCCUUGGGGCUAAUACCCUCGAGGAAGGACAUCACCCACAGAAGAAGCACCGGCUAACUCCGUGCCAGCAGCCGCGGUAAUACGGAGGGUGCGAGCGUUAAUCGGAAUUACUGGGCGUAAAGCGCGCGUAGGCGGUCUGAUAAGCCGGUUGUGAAAGCCCCGGGCUCAACCUGGGAACGGCAUCCGGAACUGUCAGGCUAGAGUGCAGGAGAGGAAGGUAGAAUUCCCGGUGUAGCGGUGAAAUGCGUAGAGAUCGGGAGGAAUACCAGUGGCGAAGGCGGCCUUCUGGACUGACACUGACGCUGAGGUGCGAAAGCGUGGGUAGCAAACAGGAUUAGAUACCCGGUAGUC
rnacentral:rRNA from 1 species